AUUGAACGCUGGCGGCAGGCCUAACACAUGCAAGUCGAACGGUAACAGGAAGAAGCUUGCUUCUUUGCUGACGAGUGGCGGACGGGUGAGUAAUGUCUGGGAAACUGCCUGAUGGAGGGGGAUAACUACUGGAAACGGUAGCUAAUACCGCAUAACGUCGCAAGACCAAAGAGGGGGACCUUCGGGCCUCUUGCCAUCGGAUGUGCCCAGAUGGGAUUAGCUAGUAGGUGGGGUAACGGCUCACCUAGGCGACGAUCCCUAGCUGGUCUGAGAGGAUGACCAGCCACACUGGAACUGAGACACGGUCCAGACUCCUACGGGAGGCAGCAGUGGGGAAUAUUGCACAAAGGGCGAAAGCCUGAUGCAGCCAUGCCGCGUGUAUGAAGAAGGCCUUCGGGUUGUAAAGUACUUUCAGCGGGGAGGAAGGGAGUAAAGUUAAUACCUUUGCUCAUUGACGUUACCCGCAGAAGAAGCACCGGCUAACUCCGUG
rnacentral:rRNA from 1 species